rnacentral:rRNA from 1 species
UACAGAGGGUGCGAGCGUUAAUCGGAAUUACUGGGCGUAAAGCGUGCGUAGACGGUUAUUUAAGUCGGAUGUGAAAGCCCCGGGCUCAACCUGGGAAUUGCAUUCGAGACUGAAUAGCUAGGGUGCGGUAGAGGGAAGCGGAAUUUCCGGUGUAGCGGUGAAAUGCGUAGAUAUCUGGAGGAACACCGGUGGCGAAGGCGGCAUCCUGGACCGGCAUUGACGCUGAGGCGCGAAAGCUAGGGGAGCAAACGGG